rnacentral:lncRNA from 1 species
GAAAAGGGACCCAAUACAGUCUGGCCAGAUGUCUUGAUGGCUCUCUUCUAAGAAGACGAUGAUGAUUUGGGAUAUCUCAGGCUACAUCUUGGCAAGGGAUAUGAUCAGGAAAUCGAAGGUAUGCUGUCCUCAGAAAAUGAUCCACAGUACGCUUUGGGAGAAUUCAGACCAAAUAGCAGAGAUACGAUCUAGGCCAGCCCUGCUCAGGCAACCAGGUGUAAAUCAUCCAGGCAUCUCCUGGGCCAUGGAGGAGGCUGGAGAGGAGGCUGAGCUAGAGCUGGAGCUGGAGCAGGUGCCCACGUGGAGCCGAAGGGUCUUUAUUACUUUAUUGCCCCAAAGACUCCAUUUGUCUUGUGAGGAGGUAAAUAUUCCAUGGCAUGUGGUAAGACUUCAUAACUAUCCCCUUUUCAUCUUCUCCGACUCAUCCAGUGUCACCAAAUUUUAUUUCUUUAUAGGCAUAAUGAAAUUACUCAUAAAUUUUGGAGUUGGAACACUGUGGCAUCAGGAAUACAAUGUUCUAAUUUAUCUAAUCUAACUAAAGAAUAAUGGUUUUUGUGCCCCAGUUCUGAAUUUUGUAGCACAUUCUCUCUCAUUCUAUAUGUUUUAACAGAAGUACAGCUAGAAAGAAUGAGCAUGA